AGGACGAACGCUGGCGGCGUGCCUAACACAUGCAAGUCGAACGAGGUUAAUCCGGUAGCAAUACUGGUGACUGCCUAGUGGCGAACGGGUGAGUAGCACGUGAGCAACCUGCCCCGAAGACCGGGACAACACCGGGAAACCGGUGCUAAUACCGGAUACCCCCACCUAAUCGCAUGAUCUGGUGAGGAAAUGGAUUCCGCUUCGGGAGGGGCUCGCGGCCUAUCAGCUAGUUGGUGAGGUAACGGCUCACCAAGGCUUCGACGGGUAGCUGGUCUGAGAGGACGAUCAGCCACACUGGGACUGAGACACGGCCCAGACUCCUACGGGAGGCAGCAGUGGGGAAUCUUGCACAAUGGGCGAAAGCCUGAUGCAGCAACGCCGCGUGAGGGACGAAGGCUUUCUGAGUUGUAAACCUCUUUCAGCAGGGACGAGUUGUGACGGUACCUGCAGAAGAACGCCCGGCAACUACGCGCCAGCAGCCGCGGUAA
rnacentral:rRNA from 1 species